AGUGAACGCUGGCGGUAGACCUAACACAUGCAAGUCGAACGGCAGCACAGCAAGAGCUUGCUCUUACGGGUGGCGAGUGGCGGACGGGUGAGGAAUACAUCGGAAUCUACUUUUUCGUGGGGGAUAACGUAGGGAAACUUACGCUAAUACCGCAUACGACCUACGGGUGAAAGCAGGGGAUCUUCGGACCUUGCGCGAUUGAAUGAGCCGAUGUCGGAUUAGCUAGUUGGCGGGGUAAAGGCCCACCAAGGCGACGAUCCGUAGCUGGUCUGAGAGGAUGAUCAGCCACACUGGAACUGAGACACGGUCCAGACUCCUACGGGAGGCAGCAGUGGGGAAUAUUGGACAAUGGGCGCAAGCCUGAUCCAGCCAUACCGCGUGGGUGAAGAAGGCCUUCGGGUUGUAAAGCCCUUUUGUUGGGAAAGAAAAGCAGCAGGUUAAUACCCCGCUGUUCUGACGGUACCCAAAGAAUAAGCACCGGCUAACUUCGUG
rnacentral:rRNA from 1 species